UGAGGAAUAUUGGUCAAUGGGCGGGAGCCUGAACCAGCCAAGUCGCGUGAAGGAAGAAGGAUCUAUGGUUCGUAAACUUCUUUUGCAGGGGAAUAAAGUGCAGGACGUGUCCUGUUUUGUAUGUACCCUGAGAAUAAGGAUCGGCUAACUCCGUGCCAGCAGCCGCGGUAAUACGGAGGAUCCGAGCGUUAUCCGGAUUUAUUGGGUUUAAAGGGUGCGUAGGUGGUUUGAUAAGUCAGCGGUGAAAGUUUGCAGCUUAACUGUAAAAAUGCCGUUGAAACUGUCGGACUUGAGUGUAAAUGAGGUAGGCGGAAUGCGUGGUGUAGCGGUGAAAUGCAUAGAUAUCACGCAGAACUCCGAUUCCGAAGGCAGCUUACUAAGCUACAACUGACACUGAAGCACGAAAGCGUGGGGA
rnacentral:rRNA from 1 species